rnacentral:rRNA from 1 species
GACGAACGCUGGCGGCGUGCUUAACACAUGCCAGUCGAACGGAAAGGCCCUGCUUUUGUGGGGUGCUCGAGUGGCGAACGGGUGAGUAACACGUGAGUAACCUGCCCUUGACUUUGGGAUAACUUUAGGAAACUGGGGCUAAUACCGGAUAGGAGCUCCUGCUGCAUGGUGGGGGUUGGAAAGUUUCGGCGGUUGGGGAUGGACUCGCGGCUUAUCAGCUUGUUGGUGGGGUAGUGGCUUACCAAGGCUUUGACGGGUAGCCGGCCUGAGAGGGUGACCGGCCACAUUGGGACUGAGAUACGGCCCAGACUCCUACGGGAGGCAGCAGUGGGGAAUAUUGCACAAUGGGCGGAAGCCUGAUGCAGCAACGCCGCGUGCGGGAUGACGGCCUUCGGGUUGUAAACCGCUUUCGCCUGUGACGAAGCGUGGGUGACGGUAAUGGGUAAAGAAGCACCGGCUAACUACGUG